rnacentral:rRNA from 1 species
AUGGGCGGAAGCCUGAUGCAGCAACGCCGCGUGCGGGAUGACGGCCUUCGGGUUGUAAACCGCUUUCACCCAUGACGAAGCGCGAGUGACGGUAGUGGGGGAAGAAGCACCGGCCAACUACGUGCCAGCAGCCGCGGUGAUACGUAGGGUGCGAGCGUUGUCCGGAAUAUUGGGCGUAAAGAGCUUGUAGGCGGUUGAUCGCGUCGAUAGUGAAAUCCCGGGGCUCAACCUCGGGCUUGCUGUCGAUACGGGUUGACUUGAGGAAGGUACGGGAGAAUGGAGCUCCCGGUGGAGCGGUGGAAUGCGCAGAUAUCGGGAAGAACACCGGUGGCGAAGGCGGUUCUCUGGACCUUUCCUGACGCUGAGAAGCGAAAGCGUGGGGAGCAAACAGGCUUAGAUACCCUGGUAGUCCACGCUGUAAACGGUGGGUACCAGGUGUGGGUCGCAUUCCACGUGAUCCGUGCCGUAGCCAACGCAUUAAGUACCCGCCUGGGGAGUACGGCCGCAAGGCUAAACUCAAAGGAAUUGACGGGGCCCGCACAAGCGGCGGAGCAUGCGGAUUAAUUCGAUGC